rnacentral:rRNA from 1 species
UCCUACGGGAGGCAGCAGUGGGGAAUAUUGCACAAUGGGCGCAAGCCUGAUGCAGCCAUGCGGGGUGUGUGAAGAAGGCCUUCGGGUUGUAAAGCAAUUUCAGUAAGGAGGAAAGGUUAAGUGUUAAUAGCAGUUAGAAGUGACGUUACUUACAUAAGAAGCUCCGGCUAACUCCGUGCCAGCAGCCGCGGUAA